UUGUUUUUCCCAUUGUAUUUUCCCAUUUUUCCCAUUGUUUUUCCCGUUGUUUUUCCCAUUGUUUUUUCCCAUUGUUGUUUUUCCCAUUGUUUUUCCCACUGUUUUUCCCGCUGUUGUUUUUUCCCGAUUUUCCCGCUGUUGUUUUUCUCAUUGUUGUUUUUCCCAUUGUUGUUUUUCCCGCUGUUGUUUUUUCCCAAUUUUCCCAUUGUCUUUUCCCAUUGUUGUUUUUCCCAUUGUUGUUUUUCCCAUUGUUGUUUUUCUCAUUGUUGUUUUUCCCGCUGUUGUUUUUUCCCGAUUUUCCCACUGUUGUUUUUCCCAUUGUUUUAUUCCCGCUGUUGUUUUAUUCCCGCUGUUGUUUUUCCCGCUGUUGUUUUUCCGGCUGUUUCUCACCGAUCCAUUUGUCGUUGUUGUACCAGGACAGGUUGUCCUUGGUGCUGUCGUAGUACCCGAUCUUCUUGUACACCCCACCUGCGCACGGGUGACAAGGGACAGGUGACACCGGGACAGGUGACACCGGGACAGGUGACACCGGGACAGGUGACACUGGGACAGGUGAGAAUGGACAGGUGACAAUGGACAGGUGACACCGGGACAGGUGACACCGGGACAGGUGACAAUGGACAGGUGACAAUGGACAGGUGACACCGGGACAGGUGACACUGGGACAGGUGACACCGGGACAGGUGACACCUUGAGGACACCAGGACAGGUGACACUGGGAUGGGUGACACCUUGGGGACAAUGGACAGGUGACACCAGACAGGUGACACCGGGACAGGUGACACUGGGACAGGUGACACCGGGACAGGUGAGAAUGGACAGGUGACACCUUGGGGACAAUGGACAGGUGACAAUGGACAGGUGACACCUUGGGGACACCAGGACAGGUGACAAUGGACAGGUGACACCGGGACAGGUGACACCGGGACAGGUGACAAUGGACAGGUGACACUGGGACAGGUGGCACCGGGACAGGUGACAAGGGACAGGUGACAAGGGACAGGUGACAAUGGACAGGUGACACCGGGACAGGUGGCACCGGGACAGGUGACAAAGGACAGGUGACACCUUGAGGAGAAUGGACAGGUGACACCAGGACAAGUGACAAUGGACAGGUGACAAUGGACAGGUGACACCUUGGGGACACCAGCACAGGUGACACCAGGGGGUGGCACCGGUGGCACUUGAGGACAUCCAUGGGUGGUGGAGCCAGAGGGGGUUGGUGUCACCUGAAGGUCCCUGAAUGUCACCCAAA
rnacentral:lncRNA from 1 species